AUCACAAAUAGGUAAAAACGUGGGUAGUAGUAUUCUUCGAAACCUAAGUUGCUAGUGAAGAUUUAGGGUUUGGGGCAUUCUUUGCAACGCGGAGUAGGCUCCCUUCCCCUGUUUUCUCUUACUGGAGGCUUCUGCUGAACGUUGCAAGAUAGAAUUGUACUGCUCCGCCAUAGCCAGCUGCUUAGCAGUCAGCCAUGCUUGGGCUGGUCGCGCGGAGGGGCCGCCAAAAAUCCUCUCUCGCACGCGCCCUAAUCGAACAUGGCGGUGCUGUGCCGCGGCUGGUGUCGAAUUCGUUCGAAGAAGCUCCAAGAGCUGGUCGACAUUGGACGAGCCUCGCGGGGCUGUACGAGAUUGUGAAAUUGCGAGGGGCUGCGGGCUUUUUGGACGCGCGGAAGGUGAGGGAUGGCGCUCGCGAGUUCGUUCAUGAGGCGAGGUGCGGUGGACGGAGAACUUUCACAGAGUCUCGCAAGGCUAAUGUUGCCGUGGAGGCUGCGGCUGUCCCUGGUGCUUCAUCAUCGAAGCUGAAUUUUGUGGCGUGGUACUUGCGGAACCUUGACCGGCGACCGCUCUUGACCAAGAGCUUGACGGCUGGAACUAUCUACACCACCUCUGAUCUUUGCUCGCAGGGUAUCUCUGCACUUACUGCAGGCGAUGGAGAGCCAGUAGCUUGGGAUGCUAUCAGGAGUGCACGAAUGCUCGCCGUAGGCUUAUUCAUGUCUGGGCCUUUGUUGCACUUGUGGUUUGGUCGUAUUGGCAAGGUGAUUCCUGGUCGCGACAUAAUUAGCACGCUGAAAAAGCUUGUGCUAGGACAAGUGUUUUUUGGACCUGCUUUCUGUGCUGCAUUUUUUGUUAUCAACUCAUACGCUCAAGGCGAGAGAGGGGCACAAAUAACUACUCGGUUGCAGCGAGAUUUGAUACCCUGUUUAAAAAACGGGUUGAUAUACUGGCCUGCAUGUGACUUCAUCACUUAUCGAUAUGUUCCCAUCCCUCUUCAGAUUUCCUUUCGAUGAGCUUGCGGCUGCUCAUAACGUGAUGUUAUGCUCCGAUUGUAACAUUACGGAUUACAAUCAUUGUCCUCUGCUUGUUCACCCUAUUACAUCCGGGGCACUCGAGGGUUAAAAUGUCAUGCAUGAAAUGUCAGAGUAAUAACGUGUACACUAUGUCUUACCGAGACGAAAGGCAGACGACGAUUGUCGCGAAUUACAGAUUGCAUUAAAGUCGUAUGAUGGAUACGCCUCCUUGCUCUCGAAGUCGCGACUGUUCAUAGCUGGCGCUGGUAGCAGUUAGCGACGUGAUCCUCGUUCGUCGCGAUUUCCGCGCCGCUUGUGAUGAUCGUAUUGGCGAUCUCGAUGUGACCUUUGCUGGAGGAGGGGGGGUUAAUGCUACGGUGUUUGCUCCCCCCCUUCAUUUUUCGCUGCUCCUACAUCUAUGCUGAGUGUCACGAAGACCACAUCUGUCUCACGUCCAGUCACAGCAGGAAAGGGCGGCGUCCCGUCUUCCUGGUCACGCACAUUAACACCACUUUCUUCGAGUCAAUCUUAGUCUGUACGAACCUUCAUUACGCCGACGUGCCCUUCCGCAGCAACACUGCCUAACAGCUGAUCCAUUGCUCUCGUUUCGAAAUCCUCCGCGAAUCUUCCUAUGACAAAUUUUCGACUACUAACGUCCUUUGUAUUUCUGGACACAGUGCUGCAAAUAAAGCGUACGCAUUACGAGA